rnacentral:rRNA from 1 species
AACGAACGCUGGCGGCAUGCCUAACACAUGCAAGUCGAACGAGACCUUCGGGUCUAGUGGCGCACGGGUGCGUAACGCGUGGGAACCUGCCCUUAGGUUCGGAAUAACUCCCCGAAAGGGGUGCUAAUACCGGAUAAUGUCUUCGGACCAAUGAUUUAUCGCCUUUGGAUGGGCCCGCGUUGGAUUAGCUAGUUGGUAGGGUAAAAGCCUACCAAGGCGACGAUCCAUAGCUGGUCUGAGAGGAUGAUCAGCCACACUGGGACUGAGACACGGCCCAGACUCCUACGAGAGGCAGCAGUAGGGAAUAUUGGACAAUGGGCGAAAGCCUGAUCCAGCAAUGCCGCGUGAGUGAUGAAGGCCUUAGGGUUGUAAAGCUCUUUUACCCGAGAUGAUAAUGACAGUACCGGGAGAAUAAGCUCCGGCUAACUCCGUG